rnacentral:rRNA from 1 species
AUUGAACGCUGGCGGCAGGCCUAACACAUGCAAGUCGAACGAGUGGCGGACGGGUGAGUAAUGUCUGGGAAACUGCCUGAUGGAGUGGGAUAACUACUGGAAACGGUAGCUAAUACCGCAUACCAUCAGAUGUGCCCAGAUGGGAUUGGCUCGUUGGUGGGGUAACGGCGCACAAAGGCGAAGAUCCCUAGCUGGUCUGAGAGGAUGACAAGCCACACGGGAACUGAGACACGGUCAAGACUCCUAAGGGAGGAAGCAGUGGGGAAUAUUGCACAAUGGGCGCAAGCCGGAUGCAGCCAUGCCGCGUGUAUGAAGAAGGCCUUCGGGUUGUAAAGUACUUUCAGCGGGGAGGCGGUACCCGCAGAAGAAGCACCGGCUAACUCCGUGCCAGCAGCCGCGGUAAUAC